ensembl:lncRNA
AAUUAACCAAAGUCAGAGCAGAGAUGAAGAUAGGCUCCUUGCAUGACAUACAGUACUAUGAAGUGCUGACAACCAGGACAGGGGAAAUGAGCCAAACCACAAUCUUUGAGGACCGCUUCACAUACCCACCAUGCGCUGAUUCUCUGGCAGAGCACCCGGUUGAGGACAUGAACACCAAAUACCGGAAUAUAUUUUACUCCAACAAGAAGCAGAGGACAGUUACCUGACGCUCAGCUGUCCGGAGAUGGGCAGAGCUGGAUUGAAAUGCCGGAGGAAAUAAGGUGUGUGGCUGAUGUCAGCUUUUGCUGGAAGACGCGCCCUGACAGGGUGCAUGAAUACAGAAAGUGACAGCAAAGGAAGUUCUGCAGACCUGCUCUGAGGCUUUGUGACACUGGCCAGGUAGCGUUAAAGAUG